CGCUGAACUUAAGCAUAUCAAUAAGCGGAGGAAAAGAAACUAACAAGGAUUCCCCUAGUAACUGCGAGUGAAGCGGGAAAAGCUCAAAUUUAAAAUCUGGCGGUCUUUGGCCGUCCGAGUUGUAGUCUGGAGAAGUGCUUUCCGCGCUGGACCGUGUAUAAGUCUCUUGGAACAGAGCGUCAUAGAGGGUGAGAAUCCCGUCUUUGACACGGACUACCAGUGCUUUGUGAUGCGCUCUCAAAGAGUCGAGUUGUUUGGGAAUGCAGCUCAAAAUGGGUGGUAAAUUCCAUCUAAAGCUAAAUAUUGGCGAGAGACCGAUAGCGAACAAGUACCGUGAGGGAAAGAUGAAAAGCACUUUGGAAAGAGAGUUAAACAGUACGUGAAAUUGCUGAAAGGGAAACACUUGAAGUCAGUCGCGUUGGCCGGAACUCAGCCUUGCUUUCGCUUGGUGCACUUUCCGGUUGACGGGCCAGCAUCGAUUUCGACCGGCGGAAAAGGGUUGGAGAAAUGUGGCACCCUCGGGUGUGUUAUAGUCUCUAGUCGCAUACGUCGGUUGGGAUCGAGGAUCGCAGCGCGCCGCAAGGCAGGGUUCGCCCACUUUCGCGCUUAGGAUGCUGGCAUAAUGGCUUUAAAUGACCCGUCUUGAAACACGGACCAAGGAGUCUAACAUGCCUGCGAGUGUUUGGGUGGAAAACUCGAGCGCGUAAUGAAAGUGAAAGUUGAGACCUCUGUCGUGGAGGGCAUCGACGCCCGGACCUGACGUUCUCUGACGGAUCCGCGGUAGAGCAUGUAUGUUGGGACCCGAAAGAUGGUGAACUAUGCCUGAAUAGGGUGAAGCCAGAGGAAACUCUGGUGGAGGCUCGUAGCGAUUCUGACGUGCAAAUCGAUCGUCAAAUUUGGGUAUAGGGGCGAAAGACUAAUCGAACCAUCUAGUAGCUGGUUCCUGCCGAANUUUCCCUCAGGA
rnacentral:rRNA from 1 species